CAACGGAUACACAAGUCAAGGAAGACAGGCCUUGAAGUUAUAUUUUCCAAGAGGGUUUCCAUGAUUGUGAGAAUGGCCUCCAGAGUUGACUGGCUUCCACAGAGCAGACCUUGCCAACGUGCGUGAUGCCAGCCCACUGUGAAAAUAUCCAUGCAGCAAGAGACCACAGCUGAGACAGUACAGGAAUACGGACAAUGACAUGUGGCUGGGCCCACGCUAACCUGCUGAAGAAUGAGAGAACACACAUGGAAAAGAACCCCAGCAAAAAGCAAAGAACCUUUUCUUAGUCAAAAGCCAUACAGCCAUCCCUGCCCACCACUUGGUCAGAACUGAACCAGGAUGCCCACAGCAAGAAUUCACAGAUGCCCACUUCUGAGCAGAUGACAAAAUAGUCAGAUCACAAG